rnacentral:rRNA from 1 species
CACGUAGUUAGCCGGGGCUUUCUUCUCAGGUACCGUCACUCUGAGUUCAGUUACUAACUCAGACGUUCUUCCCUGGCAACAGAGCUUUACGAUCCGAAAACCUUCAUCACUCACGCGGCGUUGCUCCGUCAGACUUGCGUCCAUUGCGGAAGAUUCCCUACUGCUGCCUCCCGUAGGAGUCUGGGCCGUGUCUCAGUCCCAGUGUGGCCGAUCACCCUCUCAGGUCGGCUACGCAUCGUCGCCUUGGUGAGCCGUUACCUCACCAACUAGCUAAUGCGCCGCAGGCCCAUCCUCAAGUGACAGAUUGCUCCGUCUUUCCAAAUUCGUUCAGGCGAACAAAUCAUGUAUUCGGUAUUAGCUACCGUUUCCGGUAGUUGUCCCAAGCUUGAGGGCAGGUUGCCUACGUGUUACUCACCCGUCCGCCGCUAAGUAUCAGAGAAGCAAGCUUCUCAUCAACUCCGCUCGACUUGCAUGUAUUAGGCACGCCGC